rnacentral:rRNA from 1 species
CCUACGGGAGGCAGCAGUAGGGAAUCUUCCACAAUGGACGAAAGUCUGAUGGUGCAACGCCGCGUGAGUGAAGAAGGGUUUCGGCUCGUAAAGCUCUGUUGGUAGUGAAGAAAGAUAGAGGUAGUAACUGGCCUUUAUUUGACGGUAAUUACUUAGAAAGUCACGGCUAACUACGUGCAAGCAGCCGCGGUAAUACGUAGGUGGCAAGCGUUGUCCGGAUUUAUGGGGCGUAAAGCGAGUGCAGGCGGUUCAAUAAGUCUGAUGUGAAAGCCUUCGGCUCAACCGGAGAAUUGCAUCAGAAACUGUUGAACUUUAGUGCAGAAGAGGAGAGUGGAACUCCAUGUGUAGCGGUGGAAUGCGUAGAUAUAUGGAAGAACACCAGUGGCGAAGGCGGCUCUCUGGUCUGCAACUGACGCUGAGGCUCGAAAGCAUGGGUAGCGAACAGGAUUAGAUACCCCUGUAGUC